UACGGAGGGUGCAAGCGUUAUCCGGAUUUACUGGGUUUAAAGGGUGCGUAGGUGGAUAAUUAAGUCAGUGGUGAAAUCUUCAGGCUUAACCUGGAAACUGCCAUUGAUACUAUUUAUCUUGAAUACUUUGGAGGUAAGCGGAAUAUGUCAUGUAGCGGUGAAAUGCUUAGAUAUGACAUAGAACACCAAUUGCGAAGGCAGCUUACUACACAGUAAUUGACACUGAGGCACGAAAGCGUGGGGAUCAGACAGG
rnacentral:rRNA from 1 species